AGAGUUUGAUCAUGGCUCAGAUUGAACGCUGGCGGAAUGCUUUACACAUGCAAGUCGAACGGCAGCACGGGAGCUUGCUCCUGGUGGCGAGUGGCGAACGGGUGAGUAAUGCGUCGGAACGUACCGAGUAAUGGGGGAUAACGCAGCGAAAGCUGUGCUAAUACCGCAUACGCCCUGAGGGGGAAAGUGGGGGAUCGCAAGACCUCACGUUAUUCGAGCGGCCGACGUCUGAUUAGCUAGUUGGUGGGGUAAUGGCCUACCAAGGCGACGAUCAGUAGCGGGUCUGAGAGGAUGAUCCGCCACACUGGGACUGAGACACGGCCCAGACUCCUACGGGAGGCAGCAGUGGGGAAUUUUGGACAAUGGGGGCAACCCUGAUCCAGCCAUUCCGCGUGAGUGAAGAAGGCCUUCGGGUUGUAAAGCUCUUUCAGCUGGAACGAAACGGUACAGGUUAAUACCCUGUGCUAAUGACGGUACCGGCAGAAGAAGCACCGGCUAACUACGUGCCAGCAGCCGCGGUAAUACGUAGGGUGCGAGCGUUAAUCGGAAUUACUGGGCGUAAAGCGUGCGCAGGCGGAUUGUUAAGCAAGAUGUGAAAUCCCCGGGCUUAACCUGGGAAUGGCAUUUUGAACUGGCAGUCUAGGGUGCGUCAGAAGGGGGUGGAAUUCCACGUGUAGCAGUGAAAUGCGUAGAGAUGUGGAGGAACACCAAUGGCGAAGGCAGCCCCCUGGGAUGACACUGACGCUCAUGUACGAAAGCGUGGGUAGCAAACAGGAUUAGAUACCCUGGUAGUCCACGCCCUAAACGAUGUCAACUGGUUGUUGGGGGAGUGAAAUCCCUUAGUAACGAAGCUAACGCGUGAAGUUGACCGCCUGGGGAGUACGGUCGCAAGAUUAAAACUCAAAUGAAUUGACGG
rnacentral:rRNA from 1 species